AUUGAACGCUGGCGGCAGGCCUAACACAUGCAAGUCGAGCGGAGCGGCGGACGGGUGAGUAAUGCCUAGGAAUCUGCCUGGUAGUGGGGGAUAACGUCCGGAAACGGGCGCUAAUACUGCAUACUAUCAGAUGAGCCUAGGGGGGAUUAGCUUGAUGGCGGGGCAAAGGCCUACAAAGGCGACGCUCCGUAACUGGUCUGAGAGGAUGAUCAGUCACCGUGGAACUGAGACACGGUCCAGACUCCUACGGGAGGCAGCAGUGGGGAAUAUUGCACAAUGGGCGCAAGCCUGAUGCAGCCAUGCCGCGUGUGGGAAGAAGGCCGUCGGGUUGUAAAGCACUUUCAGCGGGGAGGCGUUACCCGCAGAAGAAGCACCGGCUAACUCCGUGCCAGCAGCCGCGGUAAUAC
rnacentral:rRNA from 1 species